AUUGAACGCUGGCGGCAUGCCUUACACAUGCAAGUCGAACGGCAGCACGGGUGCUUGCACCUGGUGGCGAGUGGCGAACGGGUGAGUAAUACAUCGGAACGUACCUUAUCGUGGGGGAUAACGCAGCGAAAGCUGUGCUAAUACCGCAUACGCCCUGAGGGGGAAAGCGGGGGAUCGAAAGACCUCGCGCGAUUAGAGCGGCCGAUGCCUGAUUAGCUUGUUGGUGGGGUAAAAGCCCACCAAGGCAACGAUCAGUACCUGGGCUGAGAGGACGAUCAGCGACCAUGGGACUGAGACACGGGCCAGACUCAUACGGGAUGCAGCAGUGGGGAAUUUUGGACAAUGGGGGCAACCCUGAUCCAGCAAUGCCGCGUGAGUGAAGAAGGCCUUCGGGUUGUAAAGCUCUUUUGUCAGGGAAGAAACACCGACUCCAACACAGUCCGGGAAUGACGGUACCUGAAGAAUAAGCACCGGCUAACUACGUGCCAGCAGCCGCAGUAA
rnacentral:rRNA from 1 species